rnacentral:rRNA from 1 species
CCUACGGGAGGCUGCAGUGAGGAAUAUUGGUCAAUGGCCGGAAGGCUGAACCAGCCAUGCCGCGUGAAGGUCAGUGCCAUAUGGGCGCUAAACUUCUUUUGUGCGGGGGAAAUAAUGGUCACGUGUGGCCAGACGAGAGUACCGUACGAAUAAGCAUCGGCUAACUCCGUGCCAGCCGCCGCGGUAAUACGGGGGAUGCAAGCGUUAUCCGGAGUUAUUGGGUUUAAAGGGUGCGUAGGCGGUGAGGUAAGUCAGCGGUGAAAUGCCCCCGCUCAACGGGGUGAAGUGCCAUUGAUACUGCCUUGCUUGAAUGCGUAUGCCGUGGGAGGAAUGUGUGGUGUAGCGGUGAAAUGCAUAGAUAUCACACAGAACACCGAUUGCGAAGGCAGCUCACGAAUCCGCGAUUGACGCUGAUGCACGAAAGCGUGGGUAUCAAACAGGAUUAGAUACCCUUGUAGUC